GAUGAACGCUGGCGGCGUGCCUAAUACAUGCAAGUCGAGCGAACAGAUGAGGAGCUUGCUCCUCUGACGUUAGCGGCGGACGGGUGAGUAACACGUGGAUAACCUACCUAUAAGACUGGGAUAACUUCGGGAAACCGGAGCUAAUACCGGAUAAUAUAUUGAACCGCAUGGUUCAAUAGUGAAAGACGGUUUUGCUGUCACUUAUAGAUGGAUCCGCGCCGCAUUAGCUAGUUGGUAAGGUAACGGCUUACCAAGGCAACGAUGCGUAGCCGACCUGAGAGGGUGAUCGGCCACACUGGAACUGAGACACGGUCCAGACUCCUACGGGAGGCAGCAGUAGGGAAUCUUCCGCCAUGGGCGAAAGCCUGACGGAGCAACGCCGCGUGAGUGAUGAAGGUCUUCGGAUCGUAAAACUCUGUUAUUAGGGAAGAACAAAUGUGUAAGUAACUAUGCACGUCUUGACGGUACCUAAUCAGAAAGCCACGGCUAACUACGUG
rnacentral:rRNA from 1 species